AUGUGCCGCGGCGCCGUGACCCGGCCUCACAGGCACGACCAGGGUGACAACAGCUCCCCGACGCCGCCGCCCUCCGCAAGGAGCGACGACAGCUCGAAGCUCUGCGGCACGGCGUGCGCUGAGCGACGCGCCGCGGGGACACCGCCGCCUCAGCCACCGGCGUGGCCGACCACCCGUCCACGUCCCCAUCGCUGCCGCCGACCGGCCACACGACCUCACGCUAGUCCAGCUCGAAGCACGCGCCGUCGUGGCCCGCCUCUGGCUGCUUCAGCAGGCCAAGAAACCGAAACGCCCCCCGCGCCCGGCGACCUCGGCAUCUCCAUCGACCGUCUCAGCAAGCGCUACCUCGCCCGGCUCCCGCAUUGCUGA
rnacentral:rRNA from 1 species